UUUCGAGUACGCCGAAAGGGAAACAGGUUAAUAUUCCUGUACCUGUAUCAAACAAUCCUGACGCUUUCGGAUAGGCAUUGCGGAGUCAUCGCUCCGUCUAAGCCGGAUAUGAAAUUGGAGUACCGUAAUGGUGAGAAUUUUUCAAAACGGUGAUGGGGUAACAAUGCUGAUUCCAGGAGCCCGUGAAAAGGGUGAUACGGUCCGUACCGAGAACUGACACAGGUGCCCCUCGCUGAGAAGACGAAGGCGUGUCGGGAGUAAAUGUGUUAAGGGAACUCGGCAAAUUAGCCCUGUAACUUUGGGAUAAGGGGUGCCUGCCCAGCGAUUGGGCAGGUCGCAGUGACAAGAUCGCUCCGACUGUCUAAUAACAACAUAGCAGACUGCAACUCCGAAAGGACUCGUAUAGUCUGUGAUUCCUGCCCAGUGCGAGUAUCUGAACACCGGGUUCAACCGGACGAAGGACUCGUAAACGGCGGGGGUAACGAUGACCCUCUUAAGGUAGCGUAGUACCUUGUCGCUUAAUUGGCGACUUGCAUGAAUGGAAUAACGAGAGCGAUACUGUCCCUAACACAUACCCGUUGAACCUUUUGUACUAGUGCAGAGACUAGUGACUCCUUAUGGGAAGUGAAGACCCCGUGGAGCUUUACUGCAGCCUGUCGUUGGGUUACGGUAUUACCUGCGCAGGGUAGAUGGGAGACGUCGAUCCAACCCUUGUGGGGGUUGGUUAGUCACCGAUGAGACACCAUCCUGGUUUUAUUGUAAUUCUAACUGAUUUAUCAGGACAUCGAUAGGUAGGCAGUUUGGGUGGGGCGCCACACCCUCGAAAAAAUAUCAAGGGUGCCCUAAGGUCAACUCAAGCGGGUCAGAAACCCGCUGAAGAGUGUCAAGAGCAAAAGUUGGCCUGACGCGAUUUCGCAUAGCAAGAAAUCGCGAGAGGAAGCUCGGGUCUAACGAACCAAUACGCCCUGUUGAUGAGGGCUAUUGACUACAGAAAAGCUACCCCGGGGAUAACAGAGUCGUCGCCGGCAAGAGCACAUAUCGACCCGGCGGCUUGCUACCUCGAUGUCGGUUCUUUCCAUCCUGGCUGUGCAGCAGCAGCCAAGGGUGAGGUUGUUCGCCUAUUAAAGGGGAUCGUGAGCUGGGUUUAGACCGUCGUGAGACAGGUCGGUUACUAUCUAUAAGGAGUGUUGGAAGUCUGAAGGCAAGAAUGAAAUAGUACGAGAGGAACUUUCAUUCGGCGCCACUGGUCUACCGGUUGUCUGACAAGGCAACGCCGGGCAGCUACGCGCCGAGAGUUAAAAGCUGAAAGCAUCUAAGCUUGAAACUCAGCCUGAACAAGAGACUUCAUCAAAGACACGGGUAAAAGACCCGGUUGAUAGGUUCGGGAUGUACGCACGAAGGCAACGACGUGUUCAGUCCGCGAAUACUAAUCGUCUC
rnacentral:rRNA from 1 species